rnacentral:rRNA from 1 species
UACGUAGGGGGCAAGCGUUGUCCGGAAUCAUUGGGCGUAAAGAGCGCGUAGGCGGCCCUGUAAGUCCGCUGUGAAAGUCAAGGGCUCAACCCUUGGAUGCCGGUGGAUACUGCAGGGCUAGAGUCCGGAAGAGGCGAGUGGAAUUCCUGGUGUAGCGGUGAAAUGCGCAGAUAUCAGGAAGAACACCGACGGCGAAGGCAGCUCGCUGGGACGGUACUGACGCUGAGACGCGAAAGCGUGGGGAGCGAACAGG